GGAGGGUUAGAUCAAGUGGCAGGGCGCAUGCCUAGCAGGCAUGAGGUCCUGGGUUCAAUCCCCAGUAUCUCCU
rnacentral:tRNA from 1 species